rnacentral:rRNA from 1 species
UACAGAGGUCUCAAGCGUUGUUCGGAUUCAUUGGGCGUAAAGGGCGCGUAGGCGGCUUGAUAAGGUUGCGGUGAAAGCCCGGGGCUCAACCCCGGGUCGGCCGUGGCAACUGUCGAGCUGGAGCACUGUAGAGGCAGGUGGAAUUCCGGGUGUAGCGGUGGAAUGCGUAGAGAUCCGGAAGAACACCGGUGGCGAAGGCGGCCUGCUGGGCAGUUUUGCUGACACUGAGGCGCGACAGCGUGGGGAGCAAACAGG